GAUGAACGCUAGCGGCAGGCUUAACACAUGCAAGUCGAGGGGUAUGCUGAUUUAUCGGCAGAGACCGGCGCACGGGUGCGUAACGCGUAUGCAAUCUACCUUUCACAGAGGGAUAGCCCAGAGAAAUUUGGAUUAAUACCUCAUAGUAUAGCAGUUUCGCAUGAAACCACUAUUAAAGUUCCAACGGUGAAAGAUGAGCAUGCGUCCCAUUAGCUAGAUGGUAAGGUAACGGNUUACCAUGGCUACGAUGGGUAGGGUCCUGAGAGGGAGAUCCCCCANACUGGUACUGAGACACGGACCAGACCUCCUACGGGAGGCAGCAGUGAGGAAUAUGGACAAUGGGCGCAAGCCUGAUCCAGCCAUGCCGCGUGCAGGAUGAC
rnacentral:rRNA from 1 species